GCCUUCGUGGUGUAACGGUUAGCACACUCAGCGAGUACUCGAGAAAUGCAGGUUCGAAUCCCAGCGAGGGCA
rfam:Stegodyphus mimosarum contig89923, whole genome shotgun sequence.